rnacentral:rRNA from 1 species
GACGAACGCUGGCGGCGUGCUUAACACAUGCAAGUCGAACGGAAAGGCCCUGCUUUUGUGGGGUGCUCGAGUGGCGAACGGGUGAGUAACACGUGAGUAACCUGCCCUUGACUUUGGGAUAACUUCAGGAAACUGGGGCUAAUACCGGAUAGGAGCUCCUGCUGCAUGGUGGGGGUUGGAAAGUUUCGGCGGUUGGGGAUGGACUCGGGGCUUAUCAGCUUGUUGGUGGGGUAGUGGCUUACCAAGCUUUGACGGGUAGCCGGCCUGAGAGGGUGACCGGCCACAUUGGGACUGAGAUACGGCCCAGACUCCUACGGGAGGCAGCAGUGGGGAAUAUUGCACAAUGGGCGGAAGCCUGAUGCAGCAGCGCCGCGUGCGGGAUGACGGCCUUCGGGUUGUAAACCGCUUUCGCCUGUGACGAAGCGUGAGUGACGGUAAUGGGUAAAGAAGCACCGGCUAACUACGUG